GUUCCGUUACUUGCUCGACGUGCAAUAAAUUAUUAGAGAGAGAAAGCACAAGCAAUGGUGUAAGGAGAGAGACAAAGUGAGUUCUAUUGUGCCAACCCCUAUGACUAGACUAGAAACACCAUUUUCAUUGGCCACAUUGCUUAAAUGGGGUGUGGUAUGAUAUUUAAAAUCUUCUUGAUCAAAUGUCAUAUGAUCUAUGGCCCCUGAAUC
rnacentral:lncRNA from 1 species